UGUAGUCAUUAUGUUAGAACAACUGGGAUAGUUGUGAGAAGUCCUAGCCGGGACAGCCACUCCUCCCCCACAUUCCCUUACCUCUUUUAUUUUCUGCAGUUAAAAUUCUGUUUCUGUUCACUGAUUACAGUAGCUAUUAAUCGCAGAGAAUUCAUACCUGUCCUUGCAAGAUCGAUCAUCAAAAACUGCCCAUUCUUGAACCAAUCGAUCUCCCCUACUGCAUACGUUUGAGUCCUGAUCUAUAAGGCCUUUUUGGGACUGGUUCUACUCUCCCAGAGGACCAGUCGAUCUCUGUUGGUAGCCCCUCUGAAGUGUCUCACUGCUGGUUCUGCAGUUUCUUGAUUUUUCUCUCUCCUAGGGCUGAAAUCAAGAAACCUCGUAUCUUCAAUUCUAGCCGUCAGAAUUCUAUCAGACUUACAGGUUUUUGUUGCCUUCAAGGGACCUCCAUUCGACCAGGAGUAUAGCUCCAUUGGAGCUACACACAGCCAGCCGCACCUCUCUCUCUCUCUCCCAAUUGCAGUUUCAUAAUAUUCCUCACCGAUGAUCUGAGGUUGGAGCAUAGUCGACGUUGAAUCUAAACGAUCAAUCAUGUCUACUUAUCUUUCUGUAUCACUGCUUAAGAAAGUCCUUGAGGUAGUUGAAACCAUCAGGAGUUCAAGAUCAAGGGUUCCCAAUUUUGAGCCGCCUCAAAUUGAAGCUAAUGGUGCAGUUAGCAAUUGCACAAAAUGUCUUCAUUGUAGGGGUUCCUCCAAGGUAAAUAUUUAUUUAACUUAUUUUUAGAAUUUAGUGUUUUUUCAGAGUGAAUAACCAUUUUAUUUUGUUUUCAUAACUUAAAGAUAGUGAUGCUUCUUGCUUCUAUUCAAUAUUGUCUCAGGUUUGCCUAGGUGGGGUGGUUUUCUUAUAAUGAACUGGUAGAGCUGUGGGUUGAAAAUCAUUUGAGAAGCCUAAAACUGCCAGUUGUGAACUACAUAUUAAAAUUAUCCACAAUGGUCAGUCUAAUUGACUCAAAAUGUGAUUCAGCGAUUACAAUGGUUGUCCAAUAAUUUGGUUUCUUAGGCAUGCAAAUUUCGGAUAGGGGAAAGUUUUACUCAAGGACCUUAGUCGAGGAUAUGACUUCAUUUUUCCAGAGCAAAUAUUCUAUUAAUGUAGUUGAAUACCUGUUUGAGACAUUUGGUCUAAUAAAGAGCUGGUUCUUUCAAGGUUUGAACCCAUAUGAGGAGUUGUGCAUUCCUUUUCUUGUAAAGAAGGGCAUGUUCAUUAAUCUGGAGGACUAAGUAAACUUGGAAUACUGUUCAAAUAUUUAAUGGCCGUUCUUCAGGAUGUCGUGAUAUGAUAGGUGGGACUGUGAGAGAUUCUUUGUAGCAAUUCUGUGGGCCAAUUUGAGUAUGGUGGGGAGGCUGUAACUAAUCUCAUUAACUGUAUCUCUAAAAUCAUAGAGUAUAUAUAUACACAAGCGACGAACCGCAUCUGUUGUGGUUUUGUUUCUUUAGAAAAAGAAGAAAUAAUUAACAGCUUUUCGGAUUCAUAGGUAUUUUUUUGUUGUUCUUUCUGAUCAAGUAAUAGUAAUGUGAUUGGUUUUCUCUUCUUCUUCAUUAUUGCAAGAAUUUAUAUUAAACUCUAUAGGAUUCAAGCUUUACACACGCAGAUGGCUCCCUGAAAAUACAGAACCAAAAGUCUUAAUCUUUCUCUGCCAUGGUUAUGCCAUGGAGUGCAGCAUCUCUAUGAAAGGAAGGGGAAUUCAGCUUGCAAUUUGCAGUGUAUGGGAUUGAUUAUGAGGGCCAUGGGAAAUCUACUGGAUUAGAGGCCUAUAUCUUUAGAUUUGAAGACCUUGUCAAUGAUUGUUCUAACCAUUUUACAAGCAUAAGAAUGAAAAACAUUCUUCUUCUAUACUUUUUUAUUUGAAUAUAUUCCAAGGAAUUCUAAAGCCAUUACACUAAUUUACACCCUCUUUUUUUAAAUCCAAUUUCCUUAAUAUUGCUCAUUGCAAACAAAUAUUUAAUCCAGUUUUGGAUCCUCUUUGUGUUUAUGUUGUGUUUUUGUGUUUUUACAUGUGAUCCUCUUUGCUCAUUGCUUAAAAUGUUUGGUCACAUGUGCAUAUGCACGUGUAUUUUAUAUAUAUAUAUAUAUAUAUAUAUCAUACUAUCAUACUAUUAUAUAAGUACAUGUACUUAUGCUUCGUCUUACUCUUUAAUUUUUAUAGAAAAUUGUUAUUUCCUUUCGUAAAAAGAUUUAAAUUUUAUUUAUUAUAGAGAGUUGGGCGUGAGAUUAUAAUAAAGAAACAAUUUUAUUAGUUUCUAAAUAGAAAGAGAUAGUGGAAGACUUUAAUAAAGAAAAAAUUUCAUUAAUUCCUAAAUAUAGAGUGGGGGGCGUGUGUUCUCUCUUCAUUUUCUUCUCUUCUUUCUACUUCUCUUCUUCUUCCAUCUUCUCAACUUCGGUUCCUGAAUUUUUUUUUUACAGUAAAACCCUGCACAAGCGCAGAGGGAGAAGAGACCUCCUCUGCCUCUGUCCUGGUUUCUGAAUACAGAAAACCCUGCUCUUGCACAGAGGGAGAAGGAGAAGAGAACACUUCCACACUGUGAUUAGAGUCUAAUCUUAUUAUCGCAUCAUAUUCAUUGCUAUAUUAGAAAAAAAUAAUUGUUUUAAACUUCAAAAUUCUUUCUGGUAGGGGAAUUAGAGUUAGAAGAACAACCAGUUAUUCUUCCUCAGACUGGAUUAGAGUACUCUCUACAUGUCCAUAAAUCCUUAUGGGGGAAUGGUGAGAUGGGAAUUUCAUCAUGUUUCAAUAUUGAACAAAAAUUUGUAAUUAAGAAGUUUGGUUCUUUAAUGGUCUUGGGAGAGAAGAAGAAUGAACUGUUGAUUUGCAUAAUUUUCAAACCUCUGAAUUUGACAUUGAA